AAUCAACGCUGGCGGCGUGCCUCAGACAUGCAAGUCGAACGAUUAAAGCUCUCUUCGGAGAGUGUAUAGAGUGGCGCACGGGUGAGUAACACGUAAGUAAUCUACCUUCGAGUGGGGAAUAACGUCCGGAAACGGACGCUAAUACCGCAUAAUGCAGCGGCAUCGCAAGAUGACAGUUGUUAAAGAUUUAUCGCUUGAAGAGGAGCUUGCGGCAGAUUAGCUAGUUGGUAAGGUAACGGCUUACCAAGGCUACGAUCUGUACCCGGUCUAAGAGGACGGUCGGACACACUGACACUGAAUAACGGGUCAGACUCCUACGGGAGGCAGCAGUCGGGAAUUUUGGGCAAUGGGCGAAAGCCUGACCCAGCAACGCCGCGUGAAGGAU
rnacentral:rRNA from 1 species